AAUAGAGUGAACAGUGGGGUCACCCGCAUGACAUAUAAGACCAAAAUAAGUUUUUAAAGUGGAAUUUAUGCAAAUUUUUUACAAAAACAAGAGUUAAAAUACGAAGUAUUAUAGUCACGUGAUACAUCCCCUGCGAGAGGAAGUGGUCCGACGUGAUAAACCGAACGGUCCGGCCGGAGGACAAGGAAGCGUGGAAGAAGAAUCGAAGCUUACCGAAGCUGCCGAAGCAACGUUCGCGGGAAGUCUAACCGCUUGAAGCACGUUGCAGAGUCGAGACCAGUUGAGCGGCCGGAAUUUUACGAACGAUUAUGCAAGCGUACGUCUUGAGGACGACCAUGAGCCACAAAUCAUCUCAAAUUUCUGCCCGUCAAGCCUUGUGACGAAACGGAAUCGGACUUCUUCAAGGCGCGGAUCCUAAAGUUGUUUGGGAUCGCAGAGUGACGCGGAAACCCAGUGGCAGUAAGCGGGUGCUAGUACCUCCGACGAGAUGAGUGACUGCCCGGGAGGGCUGGAGGGAGCUUGUAUGAGACAGCUGGCCCGAGCCCGAACCAGGCCAAUCAACGUGCUGGCCCGAACCAGGCCAAUGAAAGUGCUGGCCCGAGCCCGGCCCGGGCCCACAGUCAAAAGUCCGAGCCCAUCCCAGGCCUGGGCUUUCGGCUCAGCAAAGUCUGCGGAUCUGGUUAUGCUUCCUGUACGAGACAGAUCACGAAGCGGUUGCUGACUGACCAGUUGGGGCGAAAAUUUUUGUGGGAAGGACGUAAGGGAAAGUUGACAUUCAGGAACCUUCACCUUGCUGAGUGCAUCAUAAGUAAUCUCUGGAACAGUAGUGCAGAUCGCUUCACAUGGAACCAGAUUUAUGGAAUUGUUGGUG